rnacentral:rRNA from 1 species
AGUGGAUGGGGAGCAACCUAGUUGUGCGUGUGUAAAGGUAGUGCCAAGAAAAGCGGUGAUCAUGAUGAAAAUCAAUUCCCGGUACCCGAAACCGACACAGGUGGGCAAGUAGAGAAUACUAAGGGGCGCGAGGUAACUCUCUCCAAGGAACUCGGCAAAAUGACCCCGUAACUUAGGGAGAAGGGGUGCCACCGAGAGGUGGUCGCAGUGAAGAGGCCCAGGCGACUGUUUAGCAAAAACAUAGGUCUCUGCAAACUCGAAAGAGGAGGUAUAGGGGCUGACGCCUGCCCAGUGCCGGAAGGUUAAAGAAGUUGGUCAGUCUUAGGAUGAAGCUAGCGACUGAAGCCCCGGUGAACGGCGGCCGUAACUAUAACGGUCCUAAGGUAGCGAAAUUCCUUGUCGGGUAAGUUCCGACCCGCACGAAAGGCGCAACGAUCUGGGCGCUGUCUCGGAGAGAGGCUCGGCGAAAUAGGAUUGUCUGUGAAGAUACGGACUACCUGCAUUUGGACAGAAAGACCCUAUGAAGCUUUACUAUAGCUUGGAAUUGUGUUCGGGCUUCCUGUGCGCAGGAUAGGUGGGAGGCGUAGAAGGUAUUCUUGUGGGGAUACUGGAGCCAACGGUGAGAUACCACUCUCGGGAGGCUAGAAUUCUAACUUAAUUAAGGACAGUUUCAGGUGGGUAGUUUGACUGGGGCGGUCGCCUCCAAAAAGGUAACGGAGGCGUACAAAGGUUCCCUCAGACUGGUUGGAAAUCAGUCGAAGAGUGCAAAGGCAGAAGGGAGCUUGACUGCGAGAAGUACAGUUCGAGCAGGGUGGAAACACGGUCUUAGUGAUCCGACGGUGCUGUGUGGAAGGGCCGUCGCUCAACGGAUAAAAGUUACUCUAGGAUAACAGGCUGAUCUCCCCCAAGAGUUCACAUCGACGGGGAGGUUUGGCACCUCGAUGUCGGCUCAUCGCAACCUGGGGCGGAAGUACGUCCCAAGGGUUGGGCUGUUCGCCCAUUAAAGCGGUACGUGAGCUGGGUUCAGAACGUCGUGAGACAGUUCGGUCCAUAUCCGAUGUAGGCGUGAGAAUAUUGAGAGGAGCCUUCCUUAGUACGAGAGGACCGGGAAGGACGCACCGCUGGUGUACCUGUUAUGAUGCCAAUUGUAAACGCAGGGUAGCCAAGUGCGGAGAGGAUAACCGCUGAAAGCAUCUAAGUGGGAAGCCCACCUCAAGAUGAGUAUUCUGGUGUAAGGUCACGGGAAGACGACCCGUAAAUAGGCACGAGGUGGAAGUGCAGAGAUGUAUGAAGCCGAAGUGUACUAAUAGACCGUCGGCUUGA